rnacentral:lncRNA from 1 species
CUUCUGAUGAAAUGACUAACAACUGUUGCCAGAUCAGCAAGUAGCAACCACAAGGCACCUAAGUGUAAAAGGAGUCGCCUGAGAAUGAAUGUCGGUGAGGUUCUUCUACUAUAAGAGCAGCGUAUGCAAAGGCAGGAUCAGGCUGAGGUGUAUGGGAAGAGUUCAUUGUUGAGUUUGCUUGGAACAUCUUUACUGUCAGCCUACAGGGUGAAAUUUUUGAGGGUUAAGUGUGCAGACUUCCUUGAUAUGCAGGGAUGCGGGGGUAUUAGUACAGCUACCUACAAGAGCAGAGCAGUGGGAAACUUAAAGGUGCAGUACUUGCAGUUCUGACUACCUCGCCUACAGGACAGUGAAAUCUUGCAUGAACAAAAGCUAAACAGUGAAACUGUACGUGCUGAUUUUGUACUGGAGCUUUGUACUUUCCUCCCGA